rnacentral:rRNA from 1 species
UACGAAGGGGGCUAGCGUUGCUCGGAAUCACUGGGCGUAAAGCGCACGUAGGCGGAUUGGUCAGUUAGGGGUGAAAUCCUGGAGCUCAACUCCAGAACUGCCUUUAAUACUGCCAAUCUCGAGUCCGGAAGAGGUAAGUGGAACUCCUAGUGUAGAGGUGGAAUUCGUAGAUAUUAGGAAGAACACCAGUGGCGAAGGCGGCUUACUGGUCCGGUACUGACGGCUGAGGUGCGAAAGCGUGGGGAGCAAACAGG